GACGAACGCUGGCGGCGUGCUUAACACAUGCAAGUCGAACGAUGAACCACUUCGGUGGGGAUUAGUGGCGAACGGGUGAGUAACACGUGGGCAAUCUGCCCUUCACUCUGAGACAAGCCCUGGAAACGGGGUCUAAUACCGGAUAUGAGCCCGGGAGACAUCUCCUGGGUUGUAAAGCUCCGGCGGUGAAGGAUGAGCCCGCGGCCUAUCAGCUUGUUGGUGAGGUAAUGGCUCACCAAGGCGACGAUCCUUAGCUGGUUUGAGAGAACGACCAGCCACACUGGGACUGAGACACGGUCCAGACUCCUACGGGAGGCAGCAGUGGGGAAUAUUGGACAAUGGGCGAAAGCCUGAUGCAGCAACGCCGCGUGAGCGAUGAAGGCCUUUGGGUCGUAAAGCUCUGUCCCUGGGGAAGAAAAAAAUGACGGUACCCUUGGAGGAAGCCCCGGCUAACUACGUGCCAGCCGCCGCCGUAAGAC
rnacentral:rRNA from 1 species